rnacentral:rRNA from 1 species
GACAGAGGCCUCAAGCGUUAGGCGGAAUCACUGGGCUUAAAGCGUGUGUAGGCGGACCUCUAAGUGCCUUGUGAAAUCCCACGGCUCAACCGUGGAACUGCUGGGCAUACUGGGGAGUCUUGGGCCAUUCAGGGGCAACUGGAACAAGCGGUGGAGCGGUGAAAUGCGUAGAUAUCGCUUGGAACGCCGAAGGUGAAAACAGGUUGCUGGGGAUGU